UACGGAGGGUGCGAGCGUUGUUCGGAAUCACUGGGCGUAAAGCGCGUGUAGGCGGCCUGCUAAGUCUGAUGUGAAAGCCCGAGGCUCACCCUCGGAAGUGCAUUGGAAAACUGGCAGACUGGAGUCCCGGAGAGGAGGGUGGAAUUCCUGGUGUAGCGGUGAAAUGCGUAGAUAUCAGGAGGAACACCGGUGGCGAAGGCGGCCCUCUGGACGGUGACUGACGCUGAGACGCGAAAGCGUGGGGAGCAAACAGG
rnacentral:rRNA from 1 species